AAGAGUUGGAACAUUAGUUGUUUCUCUACACAACUGUUUGGCUUUUCCGCCAUAUUCUGCUUGAUUUCGGAUCAUUGGUUUUGUUUUAAUUUCUAGUUGUAUUACAGUUAUCAGUAUAGUGGGUGGGGGCAAUUGUCACUCUGGAGGAAGGGCGUAAAACACUCGAGGGCUUUAAUGCUAAAAUUUAAACAGAGCCAAAAUAAAUGCAGGCUAAUCGGGCUGGAGCAGUGAGAGCACAGCGGAGACAGAGUCAGUUUGGGAUGACUCUUCCUUAGAGGGAAGGACUCACAUUGACAGCUCUGGUGGUGCCUGUACGGGACUGUGGAUGGUCAGGUGGACGGGGAUAAGGGUCCGUGAAGCUCGGGGAAUAUGUGCCAGUGACGUGGAUAAGAGUUCAACCUCGAAAGUGCAGACAAAAUGUUUAGUCCUGGAGUGGGCUGGUCUGGUCAAGGAUGGAACUGGUGACAUGGGAUUGGGAGGACUUGCACUGAUGUCCCAUCCGGGAAAUCCGGCGCAAGGUGCUGCAGGAACUCAGCAGAUCGGGUAGCAUAUAUGGAGGGGAAUAAAGAGUUGUGAUGGACUAUUUAUUUCUCUGGGAAGUUGCUGCCUGGCCUGCCAAGUUCAUGGGCAUUUCGCAAAGUCGCCAUUGCAGAGCUUCAUUUGGCACCAUGGUUGGCACAGACAUGGUGGGCCGAAGGGCCUGCUCCUGUGCUGUACUGUUGUCCAUGCCAGGCGGGCACAGCAAGAGCCCAUAUGGAACUAUGUGAUGACGCAACAAGGCGGAACACCACGGGGGUAAAAAUAACCCUGCUUCACCGUCACAGCCCCCGUUGCAGCUUUGUGGGCAAGACUAUGGGAAGUCCGUCUAACAAAAGUAUCUGGAGCGGGACUUUCUGAUGCACGGAAACGACUGCAGGUGCUGGUACCCGGAACAACAAAAUAUCUGCAGGAGGUAUUCAGCAGAUCGAACAGCAUCUGUGGGAGUGCGGGAAUUGUCAACGCUUUCAGGUCAAAACUCUAUCGGGACUAGUUUUGACCCGAAAGGUCGACAAUUCCUUCAGGAGUGCGAGGAGACACCGCGGGUCAGGCAGCGUCUGCGGGGGGAAAUGGGCAAAAUGACGUUCCAGGUUGAGAUCCUUCAUCCGGACUGGAAAGAAAGGGGGAGGUAACCUGUAUUUAAAAAAAGGCUGAUGGCGGGGGUGGAGUGAGUUGUCAACUGGUCAUCCCCCUUUUUCUUUCCUGUCCAAAUGAAAGGUCUGGACCUACAGAUGUUGCCUCAACCGCUGUUUCCCCAGCGCUUCUCGUUUCGCACCAGAUUCCAGCAUCUGCAGCCUCCACCACCCCUACCCCCUUCCAACCACUCAGAGAUGAUGCUCGACCCAGUGAAUGCCAGCAAUUGCGAGAUCUGAUGUGAAAAGUAGGGAAUGAGAUGGGGCAACGAUUCUCGUAGUGAGGCAAUGCACUGCCGAGACGGAACGCCAGACGUGCGGCUCGAUAACGGGACAAUGGAGUGAAAUGUGUCGGUGGGGGCGGGAGUAUCUGAUAGCCCGCGCGGACAGCGGCGAGGUGGGGAGAAAAAGAAGCAAAAUGCAAAACCAAUACGAAACCGUUACCCGGAUUUAUUUCCAAAAUGCAUUAGCUGUAAAACCAUAAAUAAAGGCAAAAUGUGUACCA